rnacentral:misc_RNA from 1 species
UGAGCUUCUGUUACAUUUAUAUACUUGAGUAUAUUAUAUAUGUGAUUAAAAUGAAAUAAAAUUAUAUUUAUAUUGAAUAUAAUUGCUUUUGAUCCUGCAUGAUAAUUUAAAUUUGAAUAAUUAAAUAUUUUGUCUAAAAUAUAAUGAAAAAAAUAUAUUUAUUAACGUGUCCCUCCUAUGUCCCAUGUCCGUGUCUAUGCUUCAUAGGUAACAACAUAAAGAAAUAAAAACACUUCAAACAUUCAACAAGAACAAGUAGCCAAUUACAUUGUUGGCUACCAUGAUUAACAUAGACACAAGGAAUAAUACAAUCAACAACACAAAAUUAUGAGAAUAUCAAAAUAAUAAUACUUUUAACCAAGUGAAUCCACAAUACAUCAUAUGCUUACCAGGAAUAAACAUUCCUUCAAUACUUAUUACAAUCUUAUAAUUUUUUAAUCAGAACUUCCUUUUGCAAAGUUCUUUUUUUAUUCACUUCACAAUCCCUUAACUUGGAAGCCACUUCUAACAAAUUUAAUAUAAUAUAACAGAAGACUUGAGCAAUGGAGCUCUAUUUUGGUUACAUAUCACAUCCACAUUAACUAUUUUUUGGGAGCUUAUUCUAGGUGAUUGAAAAUAUAGACAUGACCUAUGACAAUCGUGUAAUCUCAGGCUCUCUAGGUCUCCUUUUUACAGCAGUUUGAUUCAUGGAUGAUUCAUACCCAAAGGGUACAACUAUUCUGUCUUAACUUUUAUCACCAAGAAAGAAUCAUCAAGAUCAACCUACCCUGUGCUAUUCAGAAAUUAGAUAAGGAAAUAAAAGGAAGAAGAAAAUGUAUCGCUUACCUUAACAAACCCAGUUCGG